UUCUCUCUUUGGGGAUAUCCGAUAAAAUUGGAACGAUACAGAGAAGAUUAGCAUGGCCCCUGCGCAAGGAUGACAUGCACAAAUCGAGAAAUGGUCCAAAUUUUU
rfam:Capsicum annuum cultivar Zunla-1 chromosome 4, whole genome shotgun sequence